UGGGGAGUAUUGGACAAUAGGCGAAAGCCUGAUCCAGCCAUGCCGCGUGUGUGAAGAAGGUCUUCGGAUUGUAAAGCACUUUAAGUUGGGAGGAAGGGCAGUAAGUUAAUACCUUGCUGUUUUGACGUUACCGACAGAAUAAGCACCGGCUAACUUCGUGCCAGCAGCCGCGGUAAUACGAAGGGUGCAAGCGUUAAUCGGAAUUACUGGGCGUAAAGCGCGCGUAGGUGGUUUGUUAAGUUGGAAGUGAAAGCCCCGGGCUCAACCUGGGAAUUGCUUUCAAAACUGGCAAGCUAGAGUAUGGCAGAGGGUGGUGGAAUUUCCUGUGUAGCGGUGAAAUGCGUAGAUAUAGGAAGGAACACCAGUGGCGAAGGCGACCACCUGGGCUAAUACUGACACUGAGGUGCGAAAGCGUGGGGAGCAAAACAGGAUUAGAUACCCUGGUAGUCCACGCCGUAAACGAUGUCGACUAGCCGUUGGGCUCCUUGAGAGCUUAGUGGCGCAGCUAACGCAUUAAGUCGACCGCCUGGGGGAGUACGGCCNCAAGGUUAAAACUCAAAUGAAUUG
rnacentral:rRNA from 1 species